rnacentral:rRNA from 1 species
AUGUCCCCUAUCUUGUUUAACAUUGUGGUGGAUAUGUUAGCAAUUUUGAUAGGAAGGGCUAAGGAACAUGGUCAAGUAGGUGGUUUGAUACCUCAUCUUGUUGAUGGAGGUGUAUCCAUCCUUCAGUACGCUGAUGAUACAAUUAUCUUUAUGGAGCAUGAUUUGGCCAAGGCGAGAAAUAUGAAGCUUGUGUUAUGCCUAUUUGAACAAUUGACCGGGUUAAAGAUCAACUUUCAUAAGAGCGAGCUGUUUUGUUUUGGUAGAGCCAAAGACGAACAGGAGGCUUAUAGGCAAUUGUUUGGGUGCAAAUUGGGAGAGUUACCCUUCUCUUACCUAGGUAUUCCCAUCCACCAUCGUAGGCUGACAAACAGAGAGUGGAAGUGCAUCGAGGACCAAUUUGAGAAGAAACUGAGUUGCUGGAAGGGUAAGCUCAUGUCCUACGGAGGCAGAUUAAUCCUAAUAAAUUCGGUGCUCACGAGCAUGCCUAUGUUUCUCCUAUCGUUCUUUGAGGUACCAGUUGGUGUUAGGAAGAGACUGGACUUCUAUCGAUCGCGUUUCUUUUGGUAG